UACGAAGGGGGCUAGCGUUGUUCGGAAUUACUGGGCGUAAAGCGCACGUAGGCGGAUACUUAAGUCAGGGGUGAAAUCCCGGGGCUCAACCCCGGAACUGCCUUUGAUACUGGGUAUCUCGAGUCCGGAAGAGGUGAGUGGAAUUCCGGAGUGUAGAGGUGAAAUUCGUAGAUAUUCGGAGGAACACCAGUGGCGAAGGCGGCCCACCUGGUCCGGGUACUGACGCUGAGGUGCGAAAGCGUGGGGAGCAAACAGG
rnacentral:rRNA from 1 species